CCCUUAGAUGUUCUGGGCUGCACGCGCGCUACACUGAUGCGUUCAACGAGUUUAUGACCUUGCCCGAUAGGGUUGGGUAAUCUUUUUAAAUCGCAUCGUGAUGGGGAUAGAUUAUUGCAAUUAUUAAUCUUCAACGAGGAAUUCCUAGUAAGCGCGAGUCAUCAGCUCGUGCUGAUUACGUCCCUGCCCUUUGUACACACCGCCCGUCGCACCUACCGAUUGAAUGGUCCGGUGAAGCCUCGGGAUUGCGACCAGUUCACUUUAUUGAGGAUUGGUUGUGAGAACUUGUCUAAACCUUAUCAUUUAGAGGAAGGUGAAGUCGUAACA
rnacentral:rRNA from 1 species